rnacentral:rRNA from 1 species
AACGAACGCUGGCGGUAUGCCUAACACAUGCAAGUCGAACGAGAUCUUCGGGUCUAGUGGCGCACGGGUGCGUAACGCGUGGGAAUCUGCCCUUUGGUUCGGAAUAACAGUUGGAAACGACUGCUAAUACCGGAUGAUGACGAAAGUCCAAAGAUUUAUCGCCAGAGGAUGAGCCCGCAUAGGAUUAGCUAGUUGGUGUGGUAAAGGCGCACCAAGGCGACGAUCCUUAGCUGGUCUGAGAGGAUGAUCAGCCACACUGGGACUGAGACACGGCCCAGACUCCUACGGGAGGCAGCAGUGGGAAUAUUGGACAAUGGGCGAAAGCCUGAUCCAGCAAUGCCGCGUGAGUGAUGAAGGCCUUAGGGUUGUAAAGCUCUUUUACCCGGGAUGAUAAUGACAGUACCGGGAGAAUAAGCUCCGGCUAACUCCGUGCCAGCCGCCGCGGUAA